UACGAAGGGGGCUAGCGUUGCUCGGAAUUACUGGGCGUAAAGCGCACGUAGGCGGCUCUUUAAGUCGGGGGUGAAAUCCUGGAGCUCAACUCCAGAACUGCCUUCGAUACUGGAGAGCUCGAGUCCGGAGAGGUGAGUGGAACUGCGAGUGUAGAGGUGAAAUUCGUAGAUAUUGGGAAGAACACCGGUGGCGAAGGCGGCUCUCUGGACCACAACUGACGCUGAGGCGCGAAAGCGUGGGGAGCAAACAGG
rnacentral:rRNA from 1 species